rnacentral:lncRNA from 1 species
AAACACUGCUCACACACACACACACUGGCUGAAAGAGACACAAGAAAACAUGACUGAAACUGACUCGGCAGGACAUCGCAUCCUGGGCCUACUUAGUCUAUCAGGCAUAGACAUCAGAGUCGAAGUAGUUCGGACUUGGGAAACGACACAUGCUCGCUAGGAUAUCGCAUCCUAUGCAUACGUAUCUCCUUUGGACGAAGGAGAAUCAGAGCAUUC